GAACUACUCCCUGCGUCCCGAAUUACUUGUCACAGAAAUGGAUAUAAAUGGAUGUAUCUAGAACUAAAAGUAUGUCUAGAUACAUCCAUUUCUGCGGCAAGUAAUUCCGGACGGAGGGAGUAUUAC
rfam:Hordeum vulgare subsp. vulgare, WGS project CAJW01000000 data, contig: morex_contig_40415